rnacentral:rRNA from 1 species
CAGUAGCCACGGUAAUACGUAGGUGGCAAGCGUUGUCCGGAAUUAUUGGGCGUAAAGGGCUCGCAGGCGGUUUCUUAAGUCUGAUGUGAAAGCCCCCGGCUCAACCGGGGAGGGUCAUUGGAAACUGGGAAACUUGAGUGCAGAAGAGGAGAGUGGAAUUCCACGUGUAGCGGCGAAAUGCGUAGAGAUGUGGAGGAACACCAGUGGCGAAGGCGACUCUCUGGUCUGUAACUGACGCUGAGGAGCGAAAGCGUGGGGAGCGAACAGGAUUAGAGACCCCAGUAGUCCCUGUCUCUUAUAC